UGGGGAAUAUUGCACAAUGGGCGCAAGCCUGAUGCAGCCAUGCCGCGUGUAUGAAGAAGGCCUUCGGGUUGUAAAGCACUUUCAGUGGGGAGGAAGGCGGUGAGGUUAAUAACCUCAUCGAUUGACGUUACCCGCAGAAGAAGCACCGGCUAACUCCGUGCCAGCAGCCGCGGUAAUACGGAGGGUGCAAGCGUUAAUCGGAAUUACUGGGCGUAAAGCGCACGCAGGCGGUCUGUCAAGUCGGAUGUGAAAUCCCCGGGCUCAACCUGGGAACUGCAUUCGAAACUGGCAGGCUAGAGUCUUGUAGAGGGGGGUAGAAUUCCAGGUGUAGCGGUGAAAUGCGUAGAGAUCUGGAGGAAUACCGGUGGCGAAGGCGGCCCCCUGGACAAAGACUGACGCUCAGGUGCGAAAGCGUGGGGAGCAAACAGG
rnacentral:rRNA from 1 species